rnacentral:rRNA from 1 species
CGCGUACGAUGUCGACUUGGAAAUUGAAGAGUUUGAUCAUGGCUCAGAUUGAACGCUGGCGGCAGGCCUAACACAUGCAAGUCGAACGGUAACAGGAAGCAGCUUGCUGCUUUGCUGACGAGUGGCGGACGGGUGAGUAAUGUCUGGGAAACUGCCUGAUGGAGGGGGAUAACUACUGGAAACGGUAGCUAAUACCGCAUAAUGUCGCAAGACCAAAGAGGGGGACCUUCGGGCCUCUUGCCAUCGGAUGUGCUUCCAGAUGGGAUUAGCUUGUAGGUGGGGUAACGGCUCACCUAGGCGACGAUCCCUAGCUGGUCUGAGAGGAUGACCAGCCACACUGGAACUGAGACACGGUCCAGACUCCUACGGGAGGCAGCAGUGGGGAAUAUUGCACAAUGGGCGCAAGCCUGAUGCAGCCAUGCCGCGUGUAUGAAGAAGGCCUUCGGGUUGUAAAGUACUUUCAGCGGGGAGGAAGGGAGUAAAGUUAAUACCUUUGCUCAUUGACGUUACCCGCAGAAGAAGCACCGGCUAACUCCGUGCCAGCAGCCGCGGUAAUACGGAGGCGUGCAAGCGUUAAUCGGAAUUACUGGGCGUAAAGCGCACGCAGGCGGUUUGUUAAGUCAGAUGUGAAAUCCCCGGGCUCAACCUGGGAACUGCAUCUGAUACUGGCAAGCGUUGAGUCUCGUAGAGGGGGGUAGAAUUCCAGGUGUAGCGGUGAAAUGCGUAGAGAUCUGGAGGAAUACCGGUGGCGAAGGCGGCCCCCUGGACGAAGACUGACGCUCAGGUGCGAAAGCGUGGGGAGCAAAACAGGAUUAGAUACCCUGGUAGUCCACGCCGUAAACGAUGUCGACUUGGAGGUUGUGCCCUUGAGGCGUGGCUUCCGGAGCUAACGCGUUAAGUCGACCGCCUGGGGAGUACGGCCGCAAGGUUAAAACUCAAAUGAAUUGACGGGGGCCCGCACAAGCGGUGGAGCAUGUGGUUUAAUUCGAUGCAACGCGAAGAACCUUACCUGGUCUUGACAUCCACGGAAGUUUUCAGAGAUGAGAAUGUGCCUU